rnacentral:rRNA from 1 species
GUGAAGUAGGGGGCAGAAGGCGAGUAAAUCCGUAGUGGGCAGGCGUUGUCCGGAUUUAGUGGGCGUAAAGCGAGCGCAGGCGGUUCCUUAAGUCGGAUGUGAAAGCCCACGGCUCAAACGUGGAAGGUCAUUGGAAACUGGGGAACUUGAGUGCAGAAGAGGAGAGUGGAAUUCCAUGUGUAGCGGUGAAAUGCGGAGAUAUAUGGAGGAACACCAGUGGCGAAGGCGACUCUCUGGUCUGUAACUGACGCUGAGGCUCGAAAGCGUGGGGAGCAAACAGGAUUAGAUACCCUAGUAGUC